AUACGGAGGGUGCAAGCGUUAUUCGGAAUCACUGGGCGUAAAGGGUGCGUAGGCGGUUUGAUAAGUCUGAUGUGAAAUCCUAUGGCUCAACCAUAGAACUGCAUUGGAAACUGUCAGACUAGAAUACUGAAGGGGCAGAUGGAAUUAGUGGUGUAGGGGUAAAACCCGUAGAUAUCACUAGGAAUACCGAAAGCGAAAGCGAUCUGCUGGGAAGUUAUUGACGCUGAGGCACGAAAGCGUGGGGAGCAAACGGGAUUAGAAACCCUUGUAGUCC
rnacentral:rRNA from 1 species